CAUUAAUGUGCGAAGUACAAUGAUAAAAAUAACAUGUCGGUAUUGCAUGACACCGGAAAACGAUAAAGCCAACGCAGCUGGUUUAAUAUUUUCAGCGUUCCAUUUUCAAAUGUGAAACAUAUUAACGUAAGACAUAUAAACAUCUAAGAAAAUGCAAAUUACAGCGAUUUUGAUGCAAAAUUAUUUUAGCAGCAUUACAAAUAUUACACAGGACAACAGCCAUUUUGCUAUUUACAAUAUACAGGUGAAGAAUUACAUAUGGAAUUUUAGGACUAAUUUCGAAUUGGGCUCUUCAAAUUUACAUAUUAAUCAUAACAAUACAACUUCCAUCGAUAAACGCAUCGUAUUAUUUAGAUUUUUUAGGUAAAAUAACCAACUAGUACCAUAUUUUUUGAAGAAAAAAAAGAUAAAAUUUGUUAAUAUACAAGUUAUAUAUUUUAGAAUAAGAACAUUCAUAUACACCAAGAAAUUAUAAUAUGAAAUUUAAUAAUGUAUUACUUAUUUUUGUAUAAUUUAUUAAUGAUCAUCAUGGUGUCAUAAUGAACAAUUAAAAUAGUUCAAUUAUUAUUUUA